UGCAGUCGAGCGCACCCUUCGGGGCGAGCGGCGGACGGGUUAGUAACGCGUGGGAACAUACCCUUUUCUAUGGAAUAGCCUUUGGAAACGAAGAGUAAUACCAUAUACGCCCUUCGGGGGAAAGAUUUAUCGGAGAAGGAUUGGCCCGCGUAAGAUUAGAUAGUUGGUGGGGUAAUGGCCUACCAAGUCUACGAUCUUUAGCUGGUUUUAGAGGAUGAUCAGCAACACUGGGACUGAGACACGGCCCAGACUCCUACGGGAGGCAGCAGUGGGGAAUCUUAGACAAUGGGCGCAAGCCUGAUCUAGCCAUGCCGCGUGUGUGAUGAAGGCCUUAGGGUCGUAAAGCACUUUCGCCAGAGAUGAUAAUGACAGUAUCUGGUAAAGAAACCCCGGCUAACUCCGUGCCAGCAGCCGCGGUAAUACGGAGGGGGUUAGCGUUGUUCGGAAUUACUGGGCGUAAAGCGUACGUAGGCGGAUCAGAAAGUAGGGGGUGAAAUCCCGAGGCUCAACCUCGGAACUGCCUCCUAAACUCCUGGUCUUGAGUUCGAGAGAGGUGAGUGGAAUUCCAAGUGUAGAGGUGAAAUUCGUAGAUAUUUGGAGGAACACCAGUGGCGAAGGCGGCUCACUG
rnacentral:rRNA from 1 species